UAGGGAAUCUUCGGCAAUGGACGAAAGUCUGACCGAGCAACGCCGCGUGAGUGAAGAAGGUCUUCGGAUCGUAAAACUCUGUUGUUAGAGAAGAACAAGGACGUUAGUAACUGAACGUCCCCUGACGGUAUCUAACCAGAAAGCCACGGCUAACUACGUGCCAGCAGCCGCGGUAAUACGUAGGUGGCAAGCGUUGUCCGGAUUUAUUGGGCGUAAAGCGAGCGCAGGCGGUUUAUUAAGUCUGAUGUGAAAGCCCCCGGCUCAACCGGGGAAGGGCAGUGGAAACUGGGAAGCUUGAGUGCAGGAGAGGAGAGUGGAAUUCCAUGUGUAGCGGUGAAAUGCGUAGAUAUAUGGAGGAACACCAGUGGCGAAGGCGGCUCUCUGGUCUGUAACUGACGCUGAGGCUCGAAAGCGUGGGGAGCAAACAGG
rnacentral:rRNA from 1 species